rnacentral:rRNA from 1 species
AUUGAACGCUGGCGGCAGGCCUAACACAUGCAAGUCGAGCGGCAGCGGGAAGUAGCUUGCUACUUUGCCGGCGAGCGGCGGACGGGUGAGUAAUGUCUGGGAAACUGCCCGAUGGAGGGGGAUAACUACUGGAAACGGUAGCUAAUACCGCAUAACGUCGCAAGACCAAAGAGGGGGACCUUCGGGCCUCUUGCCAUCGGAUGUGCCCAGAUGGGAUUAGCUAGUAGAUGGGGUAACGGCUCACCUAGGCGACGAUCCCUAGCUGGUCUGGCAGGAUGACCAGCCACACUGGAACUGAGACACGGUCCAGACUCCUACGGGAGGCAGCAGUGGGGAAGGUUGCAGAAUGGGCGCAAGCCUGAUGCAGCCAUGCCGCGUGUAUGAAGAAGGCCUUCGGGUUGUAAAGUACUUUCAGCGGGGAGGAAGGUGUUGAGGUUAAUAACCUCAGCAAUUAACGUUACCCGCAGAAGAAGCACCGGCUAACUCCGUGCCAGCAGCCGCCGUAA